AGGACGAGAGGUUGCGCACCACGCCUAAGGACACACAAACACACACAAACACACACAAACACACACAAACACACACAAACACACACACACAAACAGAAAUUAGAGGGAGAGGACUCACUGGAAACCGGCCCACAAGACAACUGUAAUUUACAAUACAGAUUCUAAAUUCAUUUGGUGGGCCAGAUUAUUGGGUUGGUCCUGGCAUCAGGUUAUAUGUUUUACACCACUGACAUAGAGUUUGGUCUGUAUUUGGAAUCGGAGAGAUACUAAAGAACAUGGUCAUAGUACUAUACUACCCAUAGAUUGCAACACUGUGUAUAUGGAUGCAGGUGACAUAGCCAGGAAUUCUGGCCCCCUGAAAGAAUAUUACUUUGGACCCCCAAACCAUUUUUAA
ensembl:lncRNA